rnacentral:rRNA from 1 species
UGGCGGCAGGCCUAACACAUGCAAGUCGAGCGGUAGCACAGAGAGCUUGCUCUCGGGUGACGAGCGGCGGACGGGUGAGUAAUGUCUGGGAAACUGCCUGAUGGAGGGGGAUAACUACUGGAAACGGUAGCUAAUACCGCAUAAUGUCGCAAGACCAAAGUGGGGGACCUUCGGGCCUCAUGCCAUCAGAUGUGCCCAGAUGGGAUUAGCUAGUAGGUGGGGUAACGGCUCACCUAGGCGACGAUCCCUAGCUGGUCUGAGAGGAUGACCAGCCACACUGGAACUGAGACACGGUCCAGACUCCUACGGGAGGCAGCAGUGGGGAAUAUUGCACAAUGGGCGCAAGCCUGAUGCAGCCAUGCCGCGUGUGUGGAGAAGGCCUUCGGGUUGUAAAGCACUUUCAGCGGGGAGGAAGGCGGUGAGGUUAAUAACCUCAUCGAUUGACGUUACCCGCAGAAGAAGCACCGGCUAACUCCGUGCCAGCAGCCGCGGUAAUACGGAGGGUGCAAGCGUUAAUCGGAAUUACUGGGCGUAAAGCGCACGCAGGCGGUCUGUCAAGUCGGAUGUGAAAUCCCCGGGCUUAACCUGGGAACUGCAUUCGAAACUGGCAGGCUAGAGUCUUGUAGAGGGGGGUAGAAUUCCAGGUGUAGCGGUGAAAUGCGUAGAGAUCUGGAGGAAUACCGGUGGCGAAGGCGGCCCCCUGGACAAAGACUGACGCUCAGGUGCGAAAGCGUGGGGAGCAAACAGGAUUAGAUACCCUGGUAGUCCACGCCGUAAACGAUGUCGAUUUGGAGGUUGUGCCCUUGAGGCGUGGCUUCCGGAGCUAACGCGUUAAAUCGACCGCCUGGGGAGUACGGCCGCAAGGUUAAAACUCAAAUGAAUUGACGGGGGCCCGCACAAGCGGUGGAGCAUGUGGUUUAAUUCGAUGCAACGCGAAGAACCUUACCUGGUCUUGACAUCCACAGAACUUUCCAGAGAUGGAUUGGUGCCUUCGGGAACUGUGAGACAGGUGCUGCAUGGCUGUCGUCAGCUCGUGUUGUGAAAUGUUGGGUUAAGUCCCGCAACGAGCGCAACCCUUAUCCUUUGUUGCCAGCGGUUAGGCCGGGAACUCAAAGGAGACUGCCAGUGAUAAACUGGAGGAAGGUGGGGAUGACGUCAAGUCAUCAUGGCCCUUACGACCAGGGCUACACACGUGCUACAAUGGCAUAUACAAAGAGAAGCGACCUCGCGAGAGCAAGCGGACCUCAUAAAGUAUGUCGUAGUCCGGAUUGGAGUCUGCAACUCGACUCCAUGAAGUCGGAAUCGCUAGUAAUCGUAGAUCAGAAUGCUACGGUGAAUACGUUCCCGGGCCUUGUACACACCGCCCGUCACACCAUGGGAGUGGGUUGCAAAAGAAGUAGGUAGCUUAACCUUCGGGAGGGCGCUUACCACUUUGUGAUUCAUGACUGGGG